ACGAAUUUAUUAAUAAGAAAGCACUGAAAAAAUGUAAAAAAACAAAAACAAAACAAAAGGACUACAGGACUUAACACCAUAAGAAUAAAUAAAAAUUUCAAAGGACUAAAAACCAAAACCAACCCAGCGUGUAAAAUGGCCCUUAUGAGUUUACACUCAGACUUCAAUCACUGACUUGUAGCAGACUAGGGCUCAAGCAGAAAACCACACUCCAGUUAGGAGGAACAAUAGGUCUACUUGUCAAGUGGACCAGUCUCUGCUGAUCUGCUACAUUAAGUGUGGCCAGUCCAUGUGGCUACAUUUAUGUAUAGGGGAAGCUGGGGCUUAAACAAGUAAACGGGGGGGGGGCUGCUAAAAAAUCAAGAACUCCAAACUGAAGCUAAACACAUGAUUUUUUUUAAGGGGAAGUACUUCUGUGUAAAACGUGCAUUUGAUAACAUACUCAUUUCUGGCCCUGCUACACAGGCUCUGACAAGUAUUUGCUUGCACAAUAAACCAAUCAGGGAUGUCUUACCUUUACAUAAUUCACCGUACCGGCCUAUUUUAUUACACAACUACACAUCAUGUAUUUUCUUAUAGUUCUUGAGAGCAGACUAGUUUUCAUGCCUCGUGAAGCUUCCCCUGAUGGUUAGACUUUCUUUCCCUUCGAAAAAAAUCCCUCAAGAGCCACGAUUAUAGCCUUUAUUCAAGUUGGAUCUCCUUAAUCUUCAGCGUGUAGUACGGGAAAUUUGUAAGGGAUUUGCAUCAUGCAAGCUGCGACUUCGUUCUGUUGACCUCUAUUCAGCUAAACAAAAGUACCCAACACGUGCUGUUUAGACACACCGUAUACAAAAUUCCUGGAAACAAAAAGGUGAGUACGUGGAAUUAAUUUUUUUAAAAAUCGACACCCCCUGCCUGCUACUUGCAAAAUACACGUAGUGACAAAAGGCACGUAGGUCGAUCCAAGGACAGGUUGGUACAUUUACAUAUGGCGUUGGUGAAACCACAGAGGUAGAAUUAAUAUGGUGAAACUCACUCUACCUGAGAAAGAACAUCAGCAAAUACUUUGAAGAGAGGGUCGGAUAGGGCUAGAGAGUUGACGAAUUUUAAGAUUCUGCUAGCACUGUUAGGUCAUAAUUAUAAUUUAUUUUAGUAAAAUGCAUUGGAAAAAUUGGUGCUGAAAGAAACACUGGUCUUGAAUGGCAAGUAACCUCACACAGAAUUACACUAACUACAUGUACAUGUAGUCGUACACUGUCUCACCAUUGACUUUAUUAUACUAAAGAACGUCAGUUAUGAACAUUUUUACAUCGCAAACUAAGCAUAAAUCUCAGCACUUUCCAGGACUCCCAGUACAGUGUCUAUCCAUUUGGAAUUCGAAUUGCUCCGUUUGGAGAUUUGUCAGUGGGCACUCGGCUAUUAAACGACAA